rnacentral:rRNA from 1 species
ACGGGAGGCAGCAGUGGGGAAUAUUGGGCAAUGGGCGCAAGCCUGACCCAGCAACGCCGCGUGAAGGAAGAAGGCUUUCGGGUUGUAAACUUCUUUUGCAAGGGACGAGACGAAGACGGUACCUUGUGAAUAAGCCACGGCUAACUACGUGCCAGCAGCCGCGGUAAUACGUAGGUGGCAAGCGUUGUCCGGAUUUACUGGGUGUAAAGGGCGUGUAGGCGGUUUGGCAAGUCAGAAGUGAAAUUCCCGGGCUUAACUUGGGCGCUGCUUCUGAAACUGCUUAACUUGAGUACUGGAGAGGAUAGUGGAAUUCCUAGUGUAGCGGUAAAAUGCACAGAUAUUAGGAGGAACACCGGUGGCGAAGGCGGCUAUCUGGACAGUAACUGACGCUGAGGCGCGAAAGCACGGGGAGCAAACAGGAUUAGAUACCCUGGUA